rnacentral:tRNA from 1 species
GCAGUCGCGGCCAAGUGGUUAAGGCGAUCGACUAGAAAUCCAUUGAGGUCUCCCCGCACAAAUUUGAAUCCUGUCGACUGUG